CUCCUCCCCAGCUCCUUCUGGGUCCUAGCGAUAAACCGAUUCCAUGGCAGGUACUCUACCUCUCAGAGCCCUAUGUCUACACUGCUAUUUCAUGCACCCAGGCUCUAAGACGCAUUUCCUCCAGGCAAAUAUUAAAUAUCUUCGCCUACUGUGUUAGGUAAUAAUAUAUAAUAUGUUCCCUUCUUUGAUUUAAAUAUAAAUUGAAAUAUACAUUAUACUAAUUAUCGCAUUCCAUUAUUUCAGAGAUCUCUUUCCAUUUUUUAUCUAACGUAAAAAAUGAAUAAAGAGACCGGUAAGGCUGGUGAGAAGAGGAAGAGGACUGCAGGAGUAGACAAAGAUCCGUCCACGUCGAAACAAAAACAACGGGAUAGCACCCCUGACAGAGUAUUGAAGUCUCGGGGUGAACUUCCACCAAAAGAGAAGCCAUCUACUUUCAAAAAACCCUUACAAGACUCAUGGCUUCAAGAAGGCCAAAAUUGAUACCUGUGAAAUAUUGCAAAGGCUUUUCUACCCAGGGCAACACUCGGGAAUAUUAAGGUGAGUGAUCCACUGCGUCCCUCCUUCUUUUUGGACUUAAAAAAAACCAAAUGCAUGUUACACCUGGACUAUACAACAUUUUUAAAUGGUCAAGACAGAUCAAAGGCCUGAUGAUUGCAGUGUUUUGAGGAAGGA
rnacentral:lncRNA from 1 species